AGCGAACGCUGGCGGCAGGCCUAACACAUGCAAGUCGAACGAACCUUUCGGGGUUAGUGGCGGACGGGUGAGUAACACGUGGGAACGUGCCUUUAGGUUCGGAAUAACUCAGGGAAACUUGUGCUAAUACCGAAUGUGCCCUUCGGGGGAAAGAUUAAUCGCCUUUAGAGCGGCCCGCGUCUGAUUAGCUAGUUGGUUGAGGUAAUGGCUCACCAAGGCGACGAUCAGUAGCUGGUCUGAGAGGAUGAUCAGCCACAUUGGGACUGAGACACGGCCCAAACUCCUACGCGAGGCAGCAGUGGGGAAUCGUGCGCAAUGGGCGAAAGCCUGACGCAGCCAUGCCGCGUGAAUGAUGAAGGUCUUAGGAUUGUAAAAUUCUUUCACCGGGGACGAUAAUGACGGUACCCGGAGAAGAAGCCCCGGCUAACUUCGUG
rnacentral:rRNA from 1 species